ACGAAAUAAAAUGAAAAAGAUUCUAAUUUCAUGUCUUAAAUGAAAUGAGUGGACUAGAAUCGGCAGUAUUCUAAUAGAUAGAUAGUAUGGUAGAAAGAAGGAUUCAUCUAUUUAUGCCAUUAGGUGCUAAGUCUUAGUCUAAGGAAAUAUGGAACAGUCAUUGAAAAAUGUGAGUAGAAGCUAUCUAGAUGGAAAGCACAAUAUCUAGAAGAUUGACUCUGAUAAUCUGAUAAACUCUAUACUUGACUCACUUCCAACCUAUAUGAUAUCACUCUUUCCAAUCAAUGUAAGUAUCACUUAAGAGACUGGAUAGGUUCAGAAGAUCUUUCUUGUGGCAAGGAAACAAAGAAAGAGGGGUUUUCACUUAGUGAGAUGGAAACUUCUCAUUAAUGGUAAGAACAAAGGUGGGCUAGGUAUUAGGAACUUAAAGAAUCAAAGUAAGGCCAUGAAGAUGAAGUGGUUAUGGAGAUGCUCUCAAGACCCUCAAUCCCUUUCCCUAUGGAGUAAUGUCAUUAAAGCUAAAUAUGAAGAAGAAAACAACUGGGUCUCAAAGGAAGUCAACACAAUAUAUGGGGUUAGCUUAUAGAGAUCUAUCAGAACACUUUGGCCUGCAGUGAAGAGCCAAUCUUACGUCAGAGUGAAAAUGGUACCAAAACUUCCUUCUGGAAGGAUAAUUGGUUGGGAUCUGGAAGCUUGAUGGAACUAUUCCCUGAUAUGUAUGGUCUAGCUCGUCACAAACAAAAGACAAUUGCUGAAAUGUGGACUCCUCAAGGUUGUGAUCUAAUACUUAAAAGAGGGUUGAAUGACUGGGAACUAAGUAGGCUGAUUGAGCUCUACAAGCAAUUGGAAGUAUUCAAAGGCCUACAGAAUGGAAGGGAUACUUUUUGGUGGAAGGGCCACAAAAGUGGCAUAUAUAAGGUGAAUAAAGCAUACAAGAUGUUUAAUCUUACAAACAUAAGAUCACUAAUUGGCCAUGGAAACAUAUUUGGAAAGUCAAGAUACCUUACAAAGUAUCUUGCUUCACUUGGUUACUUGCAAAGGAGGCAGUUCUGACACAAGACUAUCUUAUGAAGAGGGGGAUCCCACUGUGCUUUAGGUGCUUUUUAGGGGGGAAACAGUUGAGAUAAUUUGCCAUCUAUUUCUACACUCAACAAUCUUAUGAAGAGGUGGAUCCCAUUGUGCUCUUGGUGCUUUUAUGUGGGGAAAAAGCUGAGACAAUUAGCCAUCUAUUUCUACAUUGCAG
rnacentral:lncRNA from 1 species